rnacentral:rRNA from 1 species
AUUGAACGCUGGCGGCAGGCCUAACACAUGCAAGUCGAACGAGUGGCGGACGGGUGAGUAAUGUCUGGGAAACUGCCCGUUGGAAGGGGAUAACUACUGGAAACGGUAGCUAAUACCGCCUACCAUCGGAUGUGCCCAGAUGGGAUUGGCUAGUAGGUGGGGUACCGGCUCACCUAGGCGAAGAUCCCUAGCUGGUCUGCGAGGAUGACCAGCAACACUGGAACUGAGACACGGUCCAGACUCCUACGGGAGGCAGCAGUGGGGAAUAUUGCACAAGGGGCGCAAGCCUGAUGCAGCCAUGCCGCGUGUAUGAAGAAGGCCUUCGGGUUGUAAAGUACUGUCAGCGGGGAGGCGUUACCCGCAGAAGAAGCACCGGCUAACUCCGGGCCAGCAGCCGCGGUAAUAC